rnacentral:rRNA from 1 species
GAUGAACGCUGGCGGCGUGCCUACUACAUGCAAGUCGAGCGAACGGACGAGAAGCUUGCUUCUCUGAUGUUAGCGGCGGACGGGUGAGUAACACGUGGAUAACCUACCUAUAAGACUGGGAUAACUUCGGGAAACCGGAGCUAAUACCGGAUAAUAUUUUGAACCGCAUGGUUCAAAAGUGAAAGACGGUCUUGCUGUCACUUAUAGAUGGAUCCGCGCUGCAUUAGCUAGUUGGUAAGGUAACGGCUUACCAAGGCAACGAUGCAUAGCCGACCUGAGAGGGUGAUCGGCCACACUGGAACUGAGACACGGUCCAGACUCCUACGGGAGGCAGCAGUAGGGAAUCUUCCGCAAUGGGCGAAAGCCUGACGGAGCAACGCCGCGUGAGUGAUGAAGGUCUUCGGAUCGUAAAACUCUGUUAUUAGGGAAGAACAUAUGUGUAAGUAACUGUGCACAUCUUGACGGUACCUAAUCAGAAAGCCACGGCUAACUACGUGCCAGCAGCCGCGGUAAUACGUAGGUGGCAAGCGUUAUCCGGAAUUAUUGGGCGUAAAGCGCGCGUAGGCGGUUUUUUAAGUCUGAUGUGAAAGCCCACGGCUCAACCGUGGAGGGUCAUUGGAAACUGGAAAACUUGAGUGCAGAAGAGGAAAGUGGAAUUCCAUGUGUAGCGGUGAAAUGCGCAGAGAUAUGGAGGAACACCAGUGGCGAAGGCGACUUUCUGGUCUGUAACUGACGCUGAUGUGCGAAAGCGUGGGGAUCAAACAGGAUUAGAUACCCUGGUAGUCCACGCCGUAAACGAUGAGUGCUAAGUGUUAGGGGGUUUCCGCCCCUUAGUGCUGCAGCUAACGCAUUAAGCACUCCGCCUGGGGAGUACGACCGCAAGGUUGAAACUCAAAGGAAUUGACGGGGACCCGCACAAGCGGUGGAGCAUGUGGUUUAAUUCGAAGCAACGCGAAGAACCUUACCAAAUCUUGACAUCCUUUGACAACUCUAGAGAUAGAGCCUUCCCCUUCGGGGGACAAAGUGACAGGUGGUGCAUGGUUGUCGUCAGCUCGUGUCGUGAGAUGUUGGGUUAAGUCCCGCAACGAGCGCAACCCUUAAGCUUAGUUGCCAUCAUUAAGUUGGGCACUCUAAGUUGACUGCCGGUGACAAACCGGAGGAAGGUGGGGAUGACGUCAAAUCACCAUGCCCCUUAUGAUUUGGGCUACACACGUGCUACAAUGGACAAUACAAAGGGCAGCGAAACCGCGAGGUCAAGCAAAUCCCAUAAAGUUGUUCUCAGUUCGGAUUGUAGUCUGCAACUCGACUACAUGAAGCUGGAAUCGCUAGUAAUCGUAGAUCAGCAUGCUACGGUGAAUACGUUCCCGGGUCU